UACGUAGGAGGCGAGCGUUGUCCGGAUUUACUGGGCGUAAAGCGCGUGUAGGCGGCCCUGCAAGUCGGAUGUGAAAUCCCACGGCUCAACCGUGGAAGUGCAUUCGAAACUGCAGGGCUAGAGUCCUGGAGAGGAAGGUGGAAUGCUUGGUGCAGAGGUGAAAUUCGUAGAUAUCAAGCGGAACACCGGUGGCGAAGGCGGCCUUCUGGACAGUGACUGACGCUGAGACGCGAAAGCGUGGGGAGCAAACAGG
rnacentral:rRNA from 1 species